GACGAGCGCCACGAGGAAAAGGCCUCAUUCCUGUCAAUCAAAUGAUGACUCCGAAGAGCCUGGCCGUUAACAGCAUCAAGAGGCGGAGGAGGAGGAGGAGAAGCGUCCUGUCCGGAGUGAGGCUCCGAUGCAAGUGCAAUGCAGAGGAAGAGGAGAACUGAGUUCCAAGCUCCUCCUCACUUCCGCCAGGUCUUCCC